CGGUUAACGGUAGGGGUUAGGAUGUGGGGUGGUUGUGACGUCCCAAGGAUCCCAAUUAGCACGGACCCUGUUCUAAAAGAUUUGUCUUCCUUUUCUACCGCAUUAACCAAUCAGCUGACUGUUUGCAGAGGCGGGGUAAUCGCCGAUAGCGGCGUUCCAUUAGAUAGCACAGCCACAAACUCAGAAUUGGCCAAAUCGUAAAAAUGAAUUAAACAUUUAGUAAAAUUGUAUUUAAGGUGAGGCAUAAGGUAGUGUGGUAAGUUUAGAGUUAAGAAUAGAGUUAGGUUUAAAAUCACAUUUUAAGCAGAUAAAUUGUAGAAAUAGGCUAGGUUUAUUACUUUGUGGCUGUGGUAACUAGUGACGACCCUGAUAUCGUCAAUUUGUUGUGCUCACCACUUGUGUAAACAACCGUUACAAUCUGUUUAACAGUAGCUGCCUAUCUUCUGUUAAAUUGCAACGAAACCGUUUAUCAGGUGACAUACAGUUUACGUUAUCUUUAUCAGCAUACGACGGCACAGCUAGCCAGCUCACCAAGGAUUUCUAGGCUAGUUUUGUGUACUUUUGAUAACCGUAGACCUGUAUCAUAUAUCCUUUUUUAUCAUCGUGGUAGCGCUACGUUCAUCCACGAGCGCCUUUGUAUGUCAAGUGAGUAAGGGGCUUUGGUCAACUGAUGUCCACUCGUGAUUCUGCGAGGGUUCGAUCACUGGGAAAAGGAUACAACUUGCAUCAACAAGCUGACAGAAGGCCUGACCGAGAAUCCUCUAUUCUGCAAGCUCCUGGUAACGCUGUCACAGCAUGUGGACCGCCUCAGCCUUACUGUUACACUGAAGAGAGAGCUGGAGAAGGCUGAGAGGGACCUGCAGACAGAGGUUUAAUGGGCUGUGUUCAGAGAGGCUGUACAGGCUACUGCAGGAGAUGAUCCAGGAGCACUGUGUCAGAAAGCAUCACUCCACUGUGCCUCCAGAGGACGACACUGUAUAAUACAGAACAGUACUCAUUGCUCAUUGCUGAAUGGACUCUACUAUAUAUAACUCUAGACUGCUCUAUUCUCGUUGUGUGUCUGGCAGAGCAACACACAGUACACUUAGUACCAUAAUCCCUCUUUAAGGUUACACCUAUUAAUGCACAAAUAAUGUCUAUAGGCCUAGAUACAAGUAGAUCAUUGGGGAAGUAGUUUAACCACCCAAGUGAAUUUGAUUUCCGAAAGGUUACUUUUUGUUUACAUUGAUCAUCCAAAGUACUGUAUAAUGUUAGAAUAAACCUAAAUCUUGUUUCCCCCUGGCAGUUUUAUGAGACUGUGGAGCAGUGUCUGGUGGUGGCCUAGUGUGUCAGGUAGUUGGACCCUAGUGACACCACCAGCCAGGACCAACCUCCUGUCCUAGGACUGAGUCUCCAACAGGUGCUGUAGCUGAUGCCACAAGAGGAGAGGGUGAGAGUGAAAGGCUGAAGAACAUGAAGCUGUCUCGCUUGUCUGGCCUUCUGGAAAGUGAAAGGAAAAGAGCAGAGAGUCUGAAGGGGAAGAGCCGUGAGUGCCGCCCUGCUGCAAAAGCAGACUCCCUGCUACCUCUCUGUAAGAGACUCUCAACACUUGGUUUGAUGUAUUCUUAGGUUUGUCUCACGUGUUGCGACCUUCACUCACGAUCAACGUGUUUUCUCCAGGAGCUGUUAGGAUGCAUUCAGAUUCUCCAGUCACUUAUCCUUGACCACAGGCUAAAAGCCCAGAAAUAACUUGACAGGAAACAGUUUGAGUACUUUGAGGCCAAAUGUGAGAUCAUCAUGCAGAAGAUCAGGUGUGAUUAGCCCCUCCUGUUUACAUCUACUCUACACUGGGCUCCUUCAGAUGCAGUUGACUGUUAAUGAGUGUGAGAAAUUGGUAUUUCAUGCAUGUCCAUCAGCAAUGUUCCGUUUUCGUGUAUCUUUUACAUUUCUUAAAUAUGUCUCUUCACAACAGAGGAGAUAUGUUGGAAAUUCAGCUGGACACCUACACAGCAGACACAAUGUCAGCCUAUAGAAUAACAAGGUGAGUCAAAUGCUGCCCAGCAACUCAAUGUCAUUAUCAUAUCAACCACUCUGGGGGCUCUCAACACCUACUCGUCAUUCCCACUCAUGUUGUUCUUUUUGGCAGCUUUGUUCAUCUACUAUGCCUUUCCUUGCCUAAACAUCAGACUGUUACCAUGGUUACUACAUGAAUAUCAGUCUAAAAGAAGUCGCUGUAAAAAAGACUCAUUAGUCUUUACAAGGUAGAAUAUUAAAUAAAAUUAUAUUUACACUUACUUUACCGGUUGUACAUGCUGUCGGUCCUUUUGGCGGUAGGUGGAGAUAGGGUAUCCACAGGAAAGCGCUGUUUACCAGACUUUUUGCGGUGCCAAUAGGUUCUGUCACUUGUAUUUUCAAUCUGUUGACACAUUGCACUUGAUGACCGAAGCACAUUUCCUGGCAAUCAACUGUUAGUGUUUGCCAUUUGUUUAGGCUCGCCAAUAUUGUGCAAGUCUUUGUCACGUGCAAAUUGUAACAGGAAUGAAAAUGAAAACCGGAAAUACAAACUAUAUACAGACAUAGCCGUGGAAAGUAGUUUGGGGGUGCAGUGAUUUAUUAAAUGUUUUAUGCCAAGGGGGGAAAGAUGAAUUGCCCCCACUGAAGAAGUCUGUAUCGAUCCACUAAUACAGGCUAGUAAAGGCCCAGUGCACUACUUUUGUCAAACUGUUUUAACUAAAUGUAUUUGAGUGUUUUCCAGCAUUUGUAACUGAUAAUUAUCUGUACAAAAGUUAAUCUGCUAAUAAAAAUACUUGCUUUAUA